AUGCGUGGGUUGCUUCGAUCAUCGAUUUGAAUAAUCAUAAAAAUUAAAUAUGCAGCAAGCCAACGACGUAGAAUGAUUUCCUUUUUGCAAUUUCAUGAAACGAUACGAAACUUUGAUCGAGAAAAAGAUCCUUUUUCUCUCGAUGCAAAUGAGGCAGUGCUCCUGAUCGAGGUGAAACAAAGGUGAAGAAACCUUUUUAUGCAAAUUUAUGAAAUGGGUAAUGAGGCCGACUUGCAUCGUCUUACAAAGAAACAAACAUUUAAAUUCUUUGAAAUGAUAUUUUAGUUCAACAAUAUACAACUAGGCAGUCCAUAUUAUUCCUGAAUGUCAUUAGGCAUCGGUAUAAUUGCCUCGAGAAAAGCUGAAAAUGUGUUGGGUAAAUCAAACAUAAAAAAUGGAGGAGAAGUAAACAAAAUGAAAGGAUAGGAGAUGUAAAUCAUCACCUUGGUUUUCUCCACAAAAAAAAAGAAAAGGUGGGGUGAGGAAAUACCGAUGGAAUACAUUUUCAGUGAGUCUUAAGUCUUUCUCGUGUCGGCCAUUGUGAGUGAUGGUGUCACCAAGAAAAUUAUGGUGGAUGAUUCAAAACUUUGGCAAAAAUCCCAAUAAACAUCUCACAAAAAGUCAUUUACCUUUCUCGCUCAGUGUUGUGUCAAAUCAACUUUAAAUCUAAGAUGAAAUUCAGCAGACAAGAUUUCAAGAAGAAUGCUGAAUUGUUGACGACCAUCUUGUCGUCGACGUGGAAAAUCGGGAAACUCGGUCGAUGCAAAUCCAGACAACUGAGAAAAUCGAUGCCGACAUUCUGUCCAAAAGAAUUGACCAGGAGAUUGCUGUUGUUACAUGUCACAAGUUCUUUGCGAGCAAGCUCCCUAGGUGAUGUAUCUCGUGUUAUCGAAUCCACUUCAAAAAACGGGGGUGGGGCAACAAAUCCCAGAUCCCAGUUGGUGUAUCAUUCGAUUUGUUUGCGCAACCCUUUUCCAAUAUCUAUUAGAUGGCUGUUUUUUUUUUAAGUGUAUAUCCAAACAUUAUGUAAGGAUUACAUAAAAACGACAAUCCCCAUGUUUUCCAGAAACUAAUAAGAAAAAGCAGACGAAUAAAUCCCGACAGCGCGAGAUCAGUGGGUUUGUCUUCAUUGGAAUUUGGCCAACUUGGCCAAAUUGCAAUGACGAUGACUCUAUAGUUCGUUGAGGAAAGAAUGUGCUCGUUAUGAAACGUUCGUAAAUGAUUCAUCCGCAUCGUUUUGAUUCGUAGGGAAAUCUAUAUUUCCGCUGCAUUUUUGUUCAUUUCGAGAGUGUCAUGCAUAAAACCCGUGGCUUGCAACGUGCAGUUAACCGGGUCACUAGAAGUAAUUAAUCCGGUGAAAUGUCUACAAAGCUUCUAGUGUAUUACACGUAAUCACGCGUUUGAUUACACGAGAAAAAAAAAGGCGUAAACAGAAGAGCUAUGACGCAAUACUGCGCUCUUGUCAAGGCUGUACUAUACAAAUUGCGUUGCUUUUACAACUUCCAUGACCCGGAUUGUUUAAAAAUACAAAAGAUGCAAGACAUGGCCCGUUAACAAACAAUAAAAGACCUCAUAUCCUUUGCUAAUAUUACAUCUUUGGAAUACAAGCAGAGAUAUUGUACAUACACAGACGUGAGACACAGUCAGUGAACAGUUUAUCAACCAUAACUUCAAACACACAGCCCUUAAUUAGUAGCGGAGGAAGUAGAAAGUUUUGCUCUUCCUGAAGGGUGGGACACGAAAUAAAUUAACCAUUUGUUUUCGGGUUCCAAUUGUCGAUAGGUUUCUACGGAAUGGGACCGAGACGAACACAUGUUUUCAGGCAUACGGGGACCCCUACGGCCUCUAUACACAACGGAGUACCUACAGAGAUCAGAGAUUGUUUUCUUUCAUUUACUUUUCUUUUAAAAAGCUUUUCUAGAUUGUUUGUGCUUGAUCCAAUCGUUAAACGAAUUAACUGUCGCCAGCUGUGCGAAUCUUAACGUAGAUAUAAACCCGUCAUUGCAUCCAAUCUGACUGCGGGAACUGUUCGUUUGCCAGCUGUUUGUAUAUACACUGCUCCCCCCCUAGCUAACCAAUUAUCUGUUGCUACGUACCCCCCUAGGAUUAGCUAAAUAUAAUUUGCACUUGAUUGAUUCGCCUGCAAUGUUUUUGGGGGGACAUUUUAACCUAUGAGUCGCUCGGAAAGUGUUAGACAUUAAAGUUUGAUAUGGUUUUCCUUUACUGUUCGUUCAUCAAGUUUUCUUUUUAUUUGUAAGGCCCUAAGAAAAAAAACCAUGGUUAUGUACGUUUGCGUCUGUUUGUGUGUAACAAUGAACAAAAAAAAAAAAGGGAGAGUUGGAAACAGG